AACAAGGUUUCUACCCGCUAGGAUACUAAAUACAUCAACAAAUUAGAUUUUAACCCGCGGUAUACCGCGGAACGAUUUAUUUUGUAAAAGUAAUAUAUAUUAAAAGUUGCAAAUUUUAUUU
rnacentral:sRNA from 1 species